rfam:Gossypium hirsutum cultivar TM-1 chromosome 19, whole genome shotgun sequence
UGUUACAAUUUUUAUCUAUUUGUAUUAUUAAAAACCAGUAUGCCUAACGAAAUAACUAGACAGUGAAACAUGACAUGCCACGCUGACACAAUGAUCAGUUUUUAAUGGUAAAAAUGAAUGAAAUUUUUAACA